rnacentral:rRNA from 1 species
UAAACGAUGUCGAUUUGGAGUUUGUUGCCUAGAGUGAUGGGCUCCGAAGCUAACGCGAUAAAUCGACCGCUGGGGAGUACGGCCGCAAGGUUAAAACUCAAAUGAAUUGACGGGGGCCCGCACAAGCGGUGGAGCAUGUGGUUUAAUUCGAUGCAACGCGAAGAACCUUACCUGGUCUUGACAUCCAUAGAAUUCUGCAGAGAUGUGGGAGUGCCUUCGGGAACUAUGAGACAGGUGCUGCAUGGCUGUCGUCAGCUCGUGUUGUGAAAUGUUGGGUUAAGUCCCGCAACGAGCGCAACCCUUAUUCUUUGUUGCCAGCGAUUUGGUCGGGAACUCAAAGGAGACUGCCGUUGAUAAAGCGGAGGAAGGUGGGGACGACGUCAAGUCAUCAUGGCCCUUACGACCAGGGCUACACACGUGCUACAAUGGCGUAUACAAAGGGAAGCGAAGGUGCGAGCUGGAGCGGAUCUCAUAAAGUACGUCUAAGUUCGGAUUGGAGUCUGCAACUCGACUCCAUGAAGUCGGAAUCGCUAGUAAUCGUAGAUCAGAAUGCUACGGUGAAUACGUUCCCGGGCCUUGUACACAUCGCCCGUCACACUAUGGGAGUGGGUUGCACCAGAAGUAGAUAGCUUAACCGCGAGGGGGGCGUUUACCACGGUGUGAUUCAUGACUGGGGUGAAGUCGUAACAAGGUAACCA